rnacentral:lncRNA from 1 species
GGGCCUAUUUAAAUCUGCACUCCUCCUCCAAGAGUCCCGCUCUAUCCAACGGUCUCGUUCUGGCACCCUUCUUCUCCCUGAGAACUCCGAUUUUUCUCAGCACCCUUUCCAGCCUUAGGCGUUCCUCGAGCUGUCCCCAUUUCUGCACCUUCGCACCUCUCCGAAUCGCUUAGGUUAGUCUCGAAACUCCUUCCUCUUUUUGUUCUUCCUUUUGCCGUUCGAUCUUUCUUCCUCUUGCUCUGCACAUCAGUCCCCCGAGACCUUGUCCGUGAUUUUCCUCGAUUUUUAGGGAUUUCGCCUCUGUAAGUGGUCUUUGUGUGAUUCUAGAUGUCUUCCAGGGCUUCUUCUUCCAGCGGCUCUAGGAGUUCGUCUGUC